rnacentral:lncRNA from 1 species
CCACAACAAUGUAUUCUAAUUCCUUUGCAAAAUAGCCUAUAAGAGAUCUUCACGGAACCCCUGGCCUUGGGCCACAAAGAAGCAAAAAAACUAAUGUCCUAAAUCCUUGACAACUCUAGCAUCGUGCUGUAGCUCCAAUUUGGGAGUUCGUUUUCAAGGCACCUUAGCUUACUUCUUCUACCCAGCUCCCUUGAGAGACCUAGAGGAAAUAUAUCAGAGGGAAGGGGGAGGCACCUAUAUGAUGCCAUAAGCAUACAAAAGCUUGGAUCAAUUUUCCAAGUCACGUCCCAAUGCAAGAAGAUAUGGCGGUGGUUAUCCUUGAAGCACAUACAAUUCAUAUUUUAGAAAAGAACAGAGUUUGGUGCACGGACUUGCAGUAGAUCAUUCGUUAUGAGCCUAUUCAAGACAAAUUCCUGAUGAAAACCUUAGCCAUAGCGAUUUUAACCUUUUAGGAAAGCACUAGUGAAAGAUUCAUUGUAGCAACUACAGUUAUGGGUAAGAUGGGUGAAAAGGGACUUGCAAG